AGUGAACGCUGGCGGCAGGCCUAAUACAUGCAAGUCGAACGGCAGCACAGCAGAGCUUGCUCUGUGGGUGGCGAGUGGCGGACGGGUGAGGAAUACAUGGGAAUCUGCCCAGUCGUGGGGGAUAACGUAGGGAAACUUACGCUAAUACCGCAUGCGCCCUUCGGGGGAAAGCCGGGGACCUUCGGGCCUGGCGCGAUUGGACGAGCCCAUGUCGGAUUAGCUAGUUGGCGGGGUAAAGGCCCACCAAGGCGACGAUCCGUAGCUGGUCUGAGAGGAUGAUCAGUCACACUGGAACUGAGACACGGUCCAGACUCCUACGGGAGGCAGCAGUAGGGAAUAUUGGACAAUGGGCGCAAGCCCGAUCCAGCCAUGCCGCGUGAGUGAAGAAGGCCCUCGGGUUGUAAAGCUCUUUUGUCCGGAAAGAAAAGCAUCCAGUUAAUACCUGGGUGUCCUGACGGUACCGGAAGAAUAAGCACCGGCUAACUUCGUGCCAGCCGCCGCGGUAAAAC
rnacentral:rRNA from 1 species